rnacentral:rRNA from 1 species
CUAAGGAGAAAGUUCCUUCGGGAACAAGUAAACUGGCGAACGGGUGAGUAACGCGUAGGUAACCUACCCUUAAGUCUGGGAUAACCCACCGAAAGGUGGACUAAUACCGGAUAAUAUNCCGCCUCAUAAGGGGUCGGGAUCAAAGAUGGCUUCGGCUAUCACUUAUGGAUGGGCCUGCGUCUGAUUAGUUUGUUGGUGAGGUAAUGGCUCACCAAGGCAGUGAUCAGUAGCUGGUCUGAGAGGGCGAUCAGCCACAUUGGGACUGAGAUACGGCCCAGACUCCUACGGGAGGCAGCAGUGGGGAAUUUUGCGCAAUGAGCGAAAGCUUGACGCAGCAACGCCGCGUGAUCGAAGAAGCUCUGCGGAGUGUAAAGAUCUGUCAUAGGGGAAGAAAAAUUCCGUUAUUAACACCAUCGGAAAGUGACGGUACCCUAUAAGAAAGCCCCGGCUAACUUCGUGCCAGCAGCCGCGGUAAUACGAGGGGGGCAAGCGUUGUCCGGAUUUAUUGGGCGUAAAGAGUUCGUAGGCGGAUUAGUCAGUCGAAAUUGAAAUCCCACGGCUUAACCGUGGACCCGGUUUCGAUACUGCUAAUCUUGAGUGAGACAGAGGUAAGCGGAAUUCCUGGUGUAGCGGUGAAAUGCGUAGAUAUCAGGAGGAACACCAAAGGCGAAGGCAGCUUACUGGGUCUAUACUGACGCUGAGGAACGAAAGCGUGGGGAGCAAACAGGAUUAGAGACCCUGGUAGUCCACGCCGUAAACGAUGAGUACUUGGUGGUGGAGGAUUCGACCCCUUCACUGUCGGAGCUAACGCGUUAAGUA